rnacentral:rRNA from 1 species
AUUAACGCUGGCAGAGUGCAUAACACAUGCAAGUCGAGCGAGGUGGCGGAUUAUCGCGCCUAGCGGCAGACGAGUGAGUAACACGUAAACAACCUGCCCUUGAAUGGCGGACAACCAGCCGAAAGGUUGGCUAAUACGCCGUACAAUCCCUGGAAGGCAUCUUCCGGGGAUGAUAGGCCCGCAAGGGUCGUUCAAGGAGGGGUUUGCGUCCCAUCAGCUAGUUGGCGGUGUAAAGGACCACCAAGGCUAUGACGGGUACCCGGCCUGAAAGGGCGGACGGGCACGAAGGCACUGAGACACGGGCCUUACUCCUACGGGAGGCAGCAGUGGGGAAUUUUGGACAAUGGGCGAAAGCCUGAUCCAGCAACUCUGCGUGAGGGACGAAGCCUUUCGGGGCGUAAACCUCUUUUAUCUGGGAAGAAAUCCCGCAAGGGUCUGACGGUACCAGGUGAAUAAGCCACGGCUAACUAUGU